GGGGCCGUAAUGGUUUCGACAGGCUGGCGAAAGCUGUUCUGUGAUUCAGGUCGAGAGCGAGUCUCCUCUCGUAAAUCAAAGACUCAAACACAAAAGUAACUGCGAAAAACAACGCUGUAGCUUUCAAGCGCGUGGCAGUCACUGCCUAGAAAAACUUUAUUGAUUUAAAGUUCGCUUGCUUCUGGUUUGACUCCGUUAAGAACUAGAAGACUAACCCCAACGGAUGCGCUAGUAAACUGCUUCUGGUCGGCUUGCUAGCAAAGACUUUACCAGAGCAUCCCUGUCAUCCGGGAUAAUGGGUGAUUCCCGCCUUGAGGAUUAGAAAGGCUAAACCUGUGAACGAGUAGAGAGUCAAUACCCAGUUUGGACAGCAGUUCGACUCUGCUCGGCUCCAUUG
rnacentral:tmRNA from 1 species